AUUGAACGCUGGCGGCAGGCCUAACACAUGCAAGUCGAGCGGAGCGGCGGACGGGUGGGUAAUGCCUAGGUAUCUGUCUGGUAGUGGGGGCUAACGUCAGGAAACGGGCGCUCAUACCGCAUACUCUCAGGUGAGCCUCGGUCGGAUUCGCUAGUUGGUGGGGUAAAGGCCUACCAAGGCGACGAUCCGUAACUGGUCUGAGAGGAUGAUCAGUCACACUGGAACUGAGACACGGUCCAGACUCCUACGGGAGGCAGCAGUGGGGAAUAUUGGACAAUGGGGGAAAGCCUGAUCCAGCCAUGCCGCGUGUGUGAAGAAGGUCUUCGGAUUGUAAAGCACUUUAAGAUGAGAGGCGUUACCAACAGAAUAAGCACCGGCUAACGUCGUGCCAGCAGCCGCGGUAAUAC
rnacentral:rRNA from 1 species